UACGUAGGUGGCAAGCGUUGUCCGGAUUUACUGGGCGUAAAGAGCGCGCAGGCGGUCGGAUAAGUCGAAUGUGAAAGCCCCCGGCUCAACUGGGGAGGGUCAUUCGAUACUGUUCGACUCGAAGGCAGGAGAGGGGAGUGGAAUUCCCGGUGUAGUGGUGAAAUGCGUAGAUAUCGGGAGGAACACCAGUGGCGAAGGCGACUUCCUGGCCUGUUCUUGACGCUGAGGCGCGAAAGCUAGGGGAGCAAACGGG
rnacentral:rRNA from 1 species